rnacentral:lncRNA from 1 species
GAUUUCGUGUUUUUGAGCCAGGUAUUUCGGGAUCAAAGACACCUCCUACCCCCUCUCUACUAAGAAAUAAUGUGACUUUGUCUAUAAUAAUGCCAUCAGAGGAAACACAAACUAGUGAUUUCAACAUGUCUACAUUCAGUGAUAUUGUUGGCUUUUUUCAAAACUACCUCUACCCUUUUUUAUUGGGAAAAUAUGCGUAAUUUUCAUUAAAUUGGGAAAUUUAGAAUAAACCAUGAAUUUGACUGAAACUUCAAUUUACAGACCCCCUUUCAAGAGUCAAACCCUGCUUUGAAAUAAGACCCCUUUUUGUCAGUAAUGAUACAUAAAUAGACCCUCAAAUCUGAACAUAUAGUCAUUUUAGGCAUGAAAAAUGUAUAAAUGAGUGUUUUUCAGUUUGUAUUCAUGCACAAUUACUACUGAGACUGCACUGAUUUGGGAAAAAAGUUGUCUUUUUGGGAAUAAGUUUAAGCCAU